GAUGAACGCUGGCGGCGUGCCUAAUACAUGCAAGUCGAGCGAACGGACGAGAAGCUUGCUUCUCUGAUGUUAGCGGCGGACGGGUGAGUAACACGUGGAUAACCUACCUAUAAGACUGGGAUAACUUCGGGAAACCGGAGCUAAUACCGGAUAAUAUUUUGAACCGCAUGGUUCAAAAGUGAAAGACGGUCUUGCUGUCACUUAUAGAUGGAUCCGCGCUGCAUUAGCUAGUUGGUAAGGUAACGGCUUACCAAGGCAACGAUGCAUAGCCGACCUGAGGGGGUGAUCGGCCACACUGGAACUGAGACACGGUCCAGACUCCUACGGGAGGCAGCAGUAGGGAAUCUUCCGCAAUGGGCGAAAGCCUGACGGAGCAACGCCGCGUGAGUGAUGAAGGUCUUCGGAUCGUAAAACUCUGUUAUUAGGGAAGAACAUAUGUGUAAGUAACUGUGCACGUCUUGACGGUACCUAAUCAGAAAGCCACGGCUAACUACGUG
rnacentral:rRNA from 1 species